rnacentral:rRNA from 1 species
UACGGAGGGUGCGAGCGUUGUCCGGAAUCACUGGGCGUAAAGGGCGCGUAGGCGGCUCGUGAAGUCAGUUGUGAAAGCCCAGGGCUCAACUCUGGGUCGGCCACUGAUACUCGCGAGCUCGAGUUUGGUAGAGGCAGAUGGAAUUCCGGGUGUAGCGGUGGAAUGCGUAGAGACCCGGAGGAACACCAGUGGCGAAGGCGGCUUCCUGGUCUGCGACUGACGCUGUGGCGCGAAAGCUAGGGGAGCAAACGGG